rnacentral:rRNA from 1 species
UACGGGGGGGGCAAGCGUUGUUCGGAAUUACUGGGCGUAAAGGGUGCGUAGGUGGCAUGGUAAGUUUGAUGUGAAAGCUCAGGGCUCAACCCUGAAAUGGCAUUGAAUACUACUGUGCUGGAGGUUUGGAGGGGGGACUGGAAUUCUUGGUGUAGCAGUGAAAUGCGUAGAGUAUCGAGAGACACCAGUGGCGAAGGCGGAGAUCCCUGGC